UACGGAGGAUCCGAGCGUUAUCCGGAUUUAUUGGGCUUAAAGGGAGCGUAGGCGGCCUGUUAAGUCAGUGGUGAAAUCUUUCGGCUCAACCGGAAGCUUGCCUUUGAUACUGAUGGGCUUGAAUGUAGUUGAGGUGGGCGGAAUGUGACAAGUAGCGGUGAAAUGCAUAGAUAUGUCACAGAACACCGAUUGCGAAGGCAGCUUACUAUGGUGCAAUUGACGCUGAGGCACGAAAGCGUGGGGAUCAAACAGG
rnacentral:rRNA from 1 species